UUUAAGGGAUUCCCUCCUCUUGUGUGUUCGUCUGUGUUCUGGGAAAUUUCCCCGAACACAGACGAACACACAAGAGCAGGGAAUCCCUCUAA